rnacentral:rRNA from 1 species
UACAGAGGUCCCAAGCGUUGUUCGGAUUCACUGGGCGUAAAGGGUGCGUAGGUGGCGCUGUAAGUCGGGUGUGAAAUUUCGGAGCUCAACUCCGAAACUGCAUUCGAUACUGCGGUGCUUGAGGACUGGAGAGGAGACUGGAAUUCAUGGUGUAGCAGUGAAAUGCGUAGAGAUCAUGAGGAAGACCAGUGGCGAAGGCGGGUCUCUGGACAGUUCCUGACACUGAGGCACGAAGGCCAGGGGAGCAAACGGG